rnacentral:rRNA from 1 species
GACGAACGCUGGCGGCGUGCUUAACACAUGCAAGUCGAACGGAAAGGCCCUGCUUUUGUGGGGUGCUCGAGUGGCGAACGGGUGAGUAACACGUGAGUAACCUGCCCUUGACUUUCGGAUAACUUCAGGAAACUGGGGCUAAUACCGGAUAGGAGCUCCUGCUGCAUGGUGGGGGUUGGAAAGUUUCGGCGGUUGGGGCUGGACUCGCGGCUUAUCAGCUUGUUGGUGGGGUAGUGGCUUACCAAGCCUUUGACGGGUAGCCGGCAUGAGAGGGUGACCGGCCACAAUGGGACUGAGAGACGGCGCAGAAGCCUACGGGAGGCAGCAGGGGGGAAUAUUGCACAAUGGGCGGGAGCCUGAUGUAGCAACGUCGGGUGCGGGAUGACGGCCUUCGGGGUGUAAACCGCUUUGGACUGUGACGAAGCGGGAGUGACGGUAAUGGGUAAAGAAGCAACGGCUAACUACGUG